rnacentral:sRNA from 1 species
AGACUUGACAGUAUCAGGAACUCCAUAGUCUCUGACCUCUACAAAUCCUCCUCCUCCUAAAAAAUCAACAGAAACAACAUUUCAUCAAAAUCCAAUCCUCAUGAUUCAAAGUUGAGUUUCAGAGAUUUUUACCAUCGUGCUUGAAAACACAGACUCUCUUUUGCCUAGAGAAACACAAGAACCCACGCCGAUCAUCCCAAGAAUAAGC